CGCGUAGGUGGUUUGUUAAGUUGGAUGUGAAAGCCCCGGGCUCAACCUGGGAACUGCAUCCAAAACUGGCAAGCUAGAGUACGGUAGAGGGUGGUGGAAUUUCCUGUGUAGCGGUGAAAUGCGUUGAUAUCCUGCAGAACACCGGCGGCGAAGGCGGAUCUCUGGUACGCAACUGACGCUCAGGCGCGAAAGUCGGGGGAAGCAAACA
rnacentral:rRNA from 1 species